GUGGAUUAGAUACCCUGGUAGUCCACGCCCUAAACGAUGCGAACUAGGUGUUGGGGAAGGAGACUUUCUUAGUACCGCAGCUAACGCGUGAAGUUCGCCGCCUGGGGAGUACGGUCGCAAGAUUAAAACUCAAAGGAAUUGACGGGGACCCGCACAAGCGGUGGAUGAUGUGGAUUAAUUCGAUGCAACGCGAAAAACCUUACCUACCCUUGACAUGUCAGGAAGUCUGCUGAGAGGUGGAUGUGCCCGAAAGGGAACCUGAACACAGGUGCUGCACGGCCGUCGACAACU
rnacentral:rRNA from 1 species